GUGCUCUCUCUGGCAGCUCAUAUUCUAAAAGCAGAACAGAAAAUGUUAGCUUGGCCCCAGUGCAAAGAUGAAGCUUCCAUCGAUGAAACAGUCUGUAUUUUA
ensembl:snRNA U6 U6 spliceosomal RNA